UUUAGACUUGUUGUUUUAUAGUUGUCCUCAUCUAUAUCUGAUCAAAGCCAUGCAAAAAGAUACACCAUUUUUUUUAUCAUAUUGACGGAACAUGUUGUAAAAAAUCGUUGAUGUAUUUACAAAAAAAAAAAUGAUCCUUAAUAUUUGGUACAAUGUAAUCAUUCAUAAAUUCUGUCCCGAUUUUGUAAGCAAAAAUAGAUAAGAUGCCAACAUGUCUGAUCUGUGUACUGAGGCAGGUGUAAUACUCUUUGAUACAUGGAAAAUGCUUUGAUGAACCCAAAUAAACUAUUGACGUUACUAUAAGUUCAAAAAUUUGUAUUAUCUGUACGUAUGCUUUAAGAAAUGAAUACAACGGUUAAACUACGGUUAAUGCAAAAGUGAUGUAAAAAUGGCAAAAUUUAUGACAAAACCAUGGCAAAAAUGAACGACGACAAAAAGACAAACAGCAGAAUACUAAACAUACAUACAUACAUAACCAAUUAAUGGGAUAAUACGUUCAACAUAGUCAUCCAACUUUGAAAUAUUUAAUGAGAGUACAUCUUCUGUAUAUCGCACACUGAAGUAAAAGCAUGAUAUAAACGUCUUUCAUUUCUAUGCUCCUGUAUGAAUUUGCCACACAUAAAAAAAUGAACAAGUCGACCAGAGGAAGAGCACAGUUAAUUCCCAUAGAAAUUCUGAUAUAACAUUUAGUUCCUAUUCUUUAACAUUUGUUUUUGUAUUUUGAAGUGUGAUAAAUACCUAUAUGGAAUGUUUGCAAACAUAUUCGUCUGACUGCAAUUCAAAUGCAGUUCAUGAGGCCACUGCUUAUGCAAACACGACUCUAUACCAGUCUGGUUGUGAAAAUGAAGCGCAGAAUUGUUCUACUAAACAAAUUGAGGCCUGUGCCACAGCCUACUUCAAUGCAUUAAGAGAUUCACCACGAAACAAGGAGGCCAUUUGCAGGUCAGAUUGUACUUUUAGACUUGUUGUUUUAUAGUUGUCCACAUCUAUAUUUGAUCGAAACCAUGCAAAAAGAUACUCCAUUUUUUCUGAUCAUAUUGACGGAUAAUGUUCAUGAUGUUGUUCAAAAUCGGUGAUAUAUUUUUUUUUUAAAAUAUCCGUUAUAUUUGGUAUAAUGUAAUCAUUCAUAAAAUAGUUAAUUUUGUUCCGAUUUAGUAAGUUAAAACAGAUAAGCCGCCAACAUGUCUGAUUUGUGUACUGUCAAAACUAUUAGAUACAUUGAAAAUGCUUUGAUGAACCAAAAUUAACUAUUGACGUUACUAUAAGUUCAACAAUUUGUAUUAUCUGUACGUAUGCUUAAAGAAAGGAAUACUACGGUUAAAACUACGGUUAAUCCAAAAAUGAUGUAAAACAAAUUUAUAACUUCGAUACUAGAUGUAUAUCAUUGAAAAGGACAAGGUAACAUUUAGGGCUUAUUUUGCCUUGUGGAUUCCCAUUACAAAAAAACAUUGUUUGAUGCCACUACUUAUCACAUCGUUUAAACACCACGAACAAUGAUUUUCAGAGUUUGUAAAUACGAGAUAAUUAAACCUUGAUAAAACAAUUUGACUAUGACGUCAUGAAUGUCAUGUCAUCAACGAGAUUUAAAAAUGUUUAAACGAAAACGAUAGUUAUUAAGACGUUUUUUUCUAAGGUAACAUUGUAUACGAUGAUAUGGUAUGAGUGCCAACGAGACCUCUCCAUCCAAGUCACAAUUGGUAAAAAUGGAAACAAUUAUAGGUCAAAGUACGCUCUUCAACACGAACACGAAGCCUGUAUGUACACAGUGCACUUCCAUAUGAGUUCAGCGACAUGACAAUGCAUUGAAUUAGUAGCGAUUUUAUGCAAAAUCAUUAUUAUCUGACACCAUUAAGACAACAGUAGCCAAAGAUAUGUUUCAGCAGUUGUGUUCAGUACCAAAUAAUCAAUAUUUAAUUUUUUUAAAUCAGAGAUCGUGUGAAAAAUAUUUGAAUUUUUGGAAAAAAAAUGUUAGAAAUUGUGUCUUGUCCUAUGUUAAACAAUUGAACAUAUUUAGUGCGAUGCCAUCCUCUGUAUAUUGGAACGUGAUAUAAAAAAAUACUAUCGUUUUUCGUUCUACAAAAGAAGUUUUUAUUAUAUUUGCCUGAUAUAUAUAUAUAUAUAUAAAAGGAAUAAGUCGGCAAGAAGAGGAACACGGUUAAUUGCGAUGUUAUUUAUUGUAUUUAACAUUUGGUUCCUAUUCUAUCUCAUUUUCUUAAAUUUAAAAAAAACAGUGUAUUGACUUUACAUCUGGAGUGUUUGCAAACACAUUUUUCUGAGUGCAAUUUGGAAGCAGGUAAAGUGGCCAUUGACGAUGCCAGAAUGUCUCUAACCUACCACGAUUGUGGUACGUAUAUUAAAUCUUUACAAAUUUUUGCUAUAAAUUGAAUCUAUCGUACGUUCUUUAUAAAUAAGAACCUUGAUUCAAAAUCAUGAUUGCCAAUAAAACGUUACCACGUUACAACCUGUGUACCUUUACAGUGUCCACCAGUAUGCGUAUUUGAUGAGCCCCACGUUGAAAUAAUAAUAUUCAUAAAAUGUAUUCACCAUUCAAAUAUUUCAGGCUUAAGUACGAUUAAUUGUAAUUUCAGUUAGUUAAUGUUAGUUAUACAAACAUAUAAAGUAUAAUACUAAAAAUUGUACUAAUGAUAUUAUUUUAUUAACAUACAUACAUACGAAUUGUUAUGAGUUACCCUUUUCGUAAUGUCGAUUUAUCAAGAGUAUCAGAAUACAAAUAGAACAAUGUGUAGCUAUCAUGUGUAUAUGUGUGUUGUUGGAAACCUGUGUUGUUAAAAUAUCUCCGUCAACUCUUUUAAAUAAAAUAUCUAUUCAUCUUUUCAAUAGAACUCGAUUAAUAUUGUGAGUCAUUAUUUGUGUUUACUCAUAGCACCAAUGUAUCUCUUAUACGUUAACAUCCCUAUUCGUAAGAUAUAAAUAUUAUAUUUUGACGAGUUCAAUUAGGAUAAAGUAAAAUUACAAAAAUACUGAACUCCGAGGAAAAUUCAAAACGGAAAGUUCCUAAUCAAAUGGCAAAAUCAAAUGAUAAAACACAUCAAACGAAUGAACAACAACUGUUAUAUUCCUGACUUGGUACAGGCAUUUUCAAAUGUAGAAAAUGGUGGAUUGAACCUGGUUUUAUAGCGCUAAACCUCUCACUUGUACGACAGUCGCAUCAAACUCCAUUAUAUUGACAAAGAUACAUGAACAAAAUGUCACAUGCAUAUUCAAUUAAAGUGAUCAUUGGAAUACUCCGUGUGGCUUCAUGAUUUAGUAUUUUGUUCUUUUCAAAAAUCCUAUAGUCCAACUAGGUGAAUAGGUGAAUGGCUCUUUUAAAAAAACAAAUUUAUGACUAAAACUGAUCGUAUGCUACUCUGUAAUGUAAAACCAAAAAUUUCAAAUGAGUUGUAAAACUACAAUUUGGAAGAAAUGAUUGUUUUUUCUCGGUUAUAUGAUGAAUAAUUCUUUAAAUCUUUCCUCAAUUUUUGAAAUUGAAAUUGCUUUAUUCAGAAAAUGAAACGCAGAAUUGUUCUAAUCAACAUAUAGAGUCAUGUGCCGCAGCCUACUACAGUGCAUUAACAGAGUCUGCGGGAGAAAAGGAGGCAAUAUGCAGAUAUUAGUGACAAGCCGAAUUCAACAUCCUCUGAGAAUUUGACAUCUUCAUUGUCAGCUGAAGAAGCGGAAGCGCGGAAUUGUGCGACUCCUAGAAUACAGUCGUGCGUCUCAGCAUUAGAGAGUGCAAUAUCACAGGCAGGAGAAGACAAGGUGAAAAGAUGCAGUGCCGGAUAUAUCUAUCUGGAAUGUGUGACUACAGUUGGAACUUACUGCAAUUUGGAUGUAGGUCAGGCCUUAAUGGAAGUCAACAAGAUGUUAUCUCAGUAAGGCUGUGUUAAUGACAGUGGUAAUGGUGCCGGAAGUAUUAUUUUCACAUUUUUUGUGAUGUGUUUUGGACUUACAUUAUAUUAGCUUGUUUAGAUGCCAUAUUGUAAUACAAUCUAUAUAAACAAACCUAAAGAUACAUGUAUGCAUGUUUAUCCUAAAUGGAGGUAAAUUGUAUGGCUUUCCAAAUACCGUUUCGAUUCCUAACAUCACUGAAGAGACAUUAUUGUCGAAAUCCGGAUAUGGUGUACAAAAACCUUUGCACCUUUUGUUUGCGGUAUACCAUCUUUUCCGCAAGUUUAUUGUUUUCUGUUUAGUAUUAAAUUUAUAAUUAAGACCCAUUUAUUACAUCGGUGAUCCGUUUAUUUGGCAAUUGCCAAUAGCAGUCAGCAGGGUUUAAGAACAUUUGUUGUUCGACCUGUUAGGCAAAUGCGUUUUGUUAAAAUAUACUUUUUCACUUUGUUGGUCUUUUGAAAAAUGUUGUUUGUGCUGUAUUUAGACCCCUCUAACAAGAAAUUUGUUUUGCAUGCACACGUAUAAAAAUUGCGGUUUUUAUCCAACGCAAUCAUAGGUUUUAACGUUGUUUUCAAUUUAGACUUGUUUAUAUUUUUUCGUUUGGGCUUUUAUUAUAUUUGCCUUCGGGUUUAUAUGAUCCGUGCAUCCUAUUUUGACUCCUCAAAAUUCAAGAGUCUAUCCUAAAUUGAGUUAAAUUGUAUGGCUUUCCAAAUACCGUUUCGAUUCCUAACAUCACUGAAGAGACAUUAAUUGUCGAAAUCCGGAUAUGGUGCACAAAAACCUUUGCACCUUUUUUUGCGGUAUACCAUCUUUUCCGCAAGUUUAUUGUUUCCAGUUUAGUAUUUGAUUUAUAAUUAAGAUCCAUUUAUUACAUCUGUGAUCCGUUUAUUUGGCAAGCGCCAAUUGCAGUCAGCAGGGUUUAAGACCAUUUGUUGUUCGACCUGUUAGUCAAAUACGUUUUUUUAAAAUAUACUUUUUCCCUUUUUUAGUCUUUUGGAAAAUGUUGUUUGUGCUGUAUUUAGACCCCUCUAACAAAAAAUCAGUUUUGCAUGCACACGCAUUAAAAUUGCGGUUUUUAUCCAACGCAAUCAUACUAGGUUAAAACGUUGUUUUCAAUUUAGACUUGUUUAUAUUUUUUCGUUUGGGCUUGUAUUAUAUUUGCCUUCGGGGUUAUAUGAUCCGUUCGUCCUAUUUGCAAUAGACUCCUCAAAAUUCAAGAGUCUAUCCUAAAUUGAGGUAAAUUGUUUUCCUUUCCAAAUACCGUUUGAUUCCUAACAUCACUGAAGAGAAAUUAAUUGUCGAAAUCCGGAUAUGGUGUACAAAAACCUUUGCACUUUUUGUUUGCGGUAUACCAUCUUUUUCGCAAGUUUAUUGUUUUCUGUUUAGUAUUAAAUUUAUAAUUAAGAUCCAUUUAUUACAUCGGUGAUCCGUUUAUUUGGCAAUCGCCAAUGGCAGUCAGCAGGGUUUAAGAACAUUUGUUGUUCGACCUGUUAGUCAAAUGCGUUUUGUUAAAAUAUACUUUUUCACUUU